AUGUACGUGUUGUGUUCACAGCAGUUUGCUGUGUUUUUUCCACCUCCUGGGUCUGCCACUCCUCCUGUCUGUCUCACUUCACACCUGGACCUAUUCUGCAAUCAUGCUCACCUGGUCUUCAUCUCCAAUCAACUCCCCUUCAUAAACCCUUGGAUUCCCUGCUGUCGGUGCCAGAUCGUACUACGCACUACUGUGUUAUCCGGAUCCCUCACUCCAGUUCGCCUGCUUCGCUCCUUCCCGGCAACCUCAUCCAAUACCCGCCUCCUCGCCUCAUUCAAUAAACCCUUUUUUCAACUCAACUUCGUCUCCGUCUGCUCUUGGGUUCAGCAUCGUUUAAACAAUAACGGAACGAUCUGGCCAAGAUGGACCCAGCGGACAUUGACAGCAUCCGUGGAGCUCUCGCCGCCCAGGGCGCUCUGGUUGCUGAGCACAGCAACGCCCUCCGGGAAGCUAUGGAAGCCUUUAGGAGUCUCGCUACCCGUGUCACACAGAUGGGCGCACAAUUGGACUUGCUGGUUCCCCCCGCCACUUUGCCUCCACUGCCUGUGGCGCCUCCGCCUGACCUCACUCUCUCGGCACACCUGCCACGGGCUCGUGAGCCUCUCAUUCCUGCCCCUGAGCGCUACGCUGGGGACAUGGGUACGUGCAGAGCCUUUUUGAUCCAGUGCUCCUUAGUUUUCAGUCAGCAGCCCCUCAGCUACCCCACUGAAAAAGCUAAGAUCGCUUUUGUUAUCGGGUCACUUAAGGGCAAUGCUUUAGAAUGGGCUUCGGCUUUAUGGGAAAGCGAUUCCCCGGUUAAUGAGAACUUUGGCCUUUUUGUAGCUGAAAUGAGGAAGGUUUUUGAUCACCCAGUGGAGGGAGGGGACGUUGCCAAGCGGCUAAUUUCCUUGCGUCAGGGCUCCCGUAGCGUAGCCGAGUUCUCCGUCGAGUUCAGGACCUAUGCCGCCAGGUCGGGCUGGAACGACAAGUCUUUACGUGGGCUUUUUGUUUCUGGUCUCUGAGUCUAUUAAGGAUGAGCUGGCUACCAGGGAGGAGGCCGACACUCUCGACGAACUGAUCUCCCUUUCCAUUCGGCUGGAUAAUCGCCUACGUGAGCGGUGUAGGGAGAGGACAGGCAGUUCCGUGCCCCCGGCACUCGCCGCUUCACGUUUUCCUCACCUCCCGAGAGCUGCUCUCCCUGCCCCCGUGACACGUGCUGUCACUGAAGAGGAGCCCAUGCAGCUGGGGCGCACUCGUCUCACCCAAGCGGAGCGGCUUCAUCGGAUUAGGACCGGAGUAUGUCUGUACUGUGCCCUGCCCGGGCAUCUCAUCUCCACCUGUCCGUCACUGCCAAAAGACCGGGCUCAGCAGUGAGACUCGGGGCCCUGCUGAGCCACGCCCCGUCCGUCCCCGUUCCUCUCUCUUCACGCCCGCUGCUGGAUGCUACUCUUCUGUUCCUCGGUCGUUCCCUUCCAGUAUCAGUCCUUGUGGAUUCGGGAGCGGACGAGAAUUUCAUCGACGCCGGUUUCGCAUCUCAGGUUGGCAUCAUUUUUGAACAGUUACCCUCUCCCCUAAAUGCUAACGCCUUAGAUGGCCGCCACCUGGCCCUUAUUUCUCAUCGUAGCCUACUAAGCCCCUUGAAUUAUUUGUUUCUGGUAAUCACCAUGAAACACUUCAGUUUCAUGUCAUCCGGUCUCCCCUUACUUCCCUGGUCCUGGGUCAUCCCUGGCUCAAGCGGCACAACCCCCAUUUCGACUGGUCGUCGGGCAAGGUGGUGAAUUGGAGCACUUUCUGUCAUUCCACCUGCCUUCAGUCUGCCCUGUCUCCAGCAGGGGGAGGUGUUUCCUCGCCCCAUGUACCCCCCGACCUCUCCUUGGUUCCCCCAACCUAUCAUGACCUAGGAGAGGUGUUUAGCAAGUGUCGUGCGCUCACCCUGCCUCCUCAUCGCCCCUAUGACUGCCCCAUUGAUCUCCUCCCCGGCGCCCCUUUGCCCAGUAGUCGCCUGUAUAAUUUGUCCCGUCCUGAGAGGGAGGCCAUGGAGAAGUACAUCAAGGAGUCCCUUUCGGCCGGCAUCAUAAGACCCUCCUCUUCUCCUGUUGGUGCAGGGUUCUUUUUUGUCUCCAAGAAGGACAAGUCUCUUCGUCCAUGCAUCGACUUCAGGGGACUCAACAACAUCACAAUCAAGAUCGAGUAUGCCCACAAUUCCAUGGCCUGUGCGGCCACCGGCAUGUCCCCAUUCGAAUGUUCCCUGGGGUACCAGCCACCCUUGUUUCCCGCCCAGGAGGAUGACAUCUCCGUCCCCUCUGUUCAACACCAUCUCCGCCGUUGCCGCAAGAUAUGGAGGGACGCACGCUCCGCUCUGCUGCGCUCCGCUGAGCAGAACCGGCGCAUUGCCGACCGCCACCGGGCUCCUGCUCCUCCCUAUCGGGUGGGUCAACAGGUGUGGUUGUCCUCCAAGGAUCUCCCCUUGCAGACUGGCUCCAAGAAGUUUAGUAGUAGUAGUAGAUAUAUUUAUUUCGGUCCAUCAAAGCACAGCACAUACGGUCAACAAAGAAAAAAAAUAAAAAAAAUAAUAGUGGCCGAAAAGGUCUAGGCUGAAGCCGAGGCUUAUUAUGCCGACCCUUUUUACAAUAAUAGGAUUUUUUCAUUAUUAACACCUUCAUUUACCAUUAUCAAUUAUAUAUUUAUUUAUAUAUAUUUAUAUUUAUUUAUAAAAGAAAAAUACAUAUACUGUAUAUAUAUAUAUGUAUAUAUUUUUUUUCUGACGUUUACAAAUAUAUAGCUCUCUACAAAUACAUAAUAUAACAAGAUAUAAUAUAACAAGAUAAUAACCCCUCGUUUUGUUGGCCCUUUCCCUAUUGUUUCGGUCAUCAACCCCUCAGCUGUCACACUCAAAAUGCCUCCCGCCAUGCGCGUUCACCCCACCUUCCAUGUCUCUCGCCUUAAGCCAGUCUCCGUCUGCCCCCUCUCCCCCCCGGCCAUUCCCCCCCCUCCUCCCCGUUUGAUUGACGACCACCCUGCUUACACCUUCCGGCGGUUGCUGGACAUUCGUCGUCGGGGCAGGGGGUAUCAGUACCUCGUGGAUUGGGAGGGUUAUGGGCCUGAGGAAAGGAGCUGGGUUUCGCGGGGUCUCAUCCUCGACCCCUCCCUCAUCCGUGACUUCCAUCUGGCUCACCCUGAGAGGCCUAGGCCGCCUAGAGGCGUCCGUUGAGGGGAGGGUACUGUUGUGUUCACAGCAGUUUGCUGUGUUUUUUCCACCUCCUGGGUCUGCCACUCCUCCUGUCUGUCUCACUUCACACCUGGACCUAUUCUGCAAUCAUGCUCACCUGGUCUUCAUCUCCAAUCAACUCCCCUUCAUAAACCCUUGGAUUCCCUGCUGUCGGUGCCAGAUCGUACUACGCACUACUGUGGUAAUGAUACACGCCUGGCUCUCGUAUUAGUGUUGCCUCGCUCUCACUCUCUUGUCUUCUGUAGUUUUUUGUCCACGACUCAACCCUGUUUUCCUCUGCCUGCAGUUAUCCGGAUCCCUCACUCCAGUUCGCCUGCUUCGCUCCUUCCCGGCAACCUCAUCCAAUACCCGCCUCCUCGCCUCAUUCAAUAAACCCUUU
rnacentral:lncRNA from 1 species